rnacentral:rRNA from 1 species
GCAGCGACGCAGCGUGMGGGAUGACGGCCUUCGGGUUGUAAACCGCUUUCAGCAGGGAAGAAGCGCAAGUGACGGUACCUGCAGAAGAAGUACCGGCUAACUACGUGCCAGCAGCCGCGGUAAUACGUAGGGUACGAGCGUUGUCCGGAAUUAUUGGGCGUAAAGAGCUCGUAGGUGGUUGGUCACGUCUGCUGUGGAAACGCAACGCUUAACGUUGCGCGUGCAGUGGGUACGGGCUGACUAGAGUGCAGUAGGGGAGUCUGGAAUUCCUGGUGUAGCGGUGAAAUGCGCAGAUAUCAGGAGGAACACCGGUGGCGAAGGCGGGACUCUGGGCUGUAACUGACACUGAGGAGCGAAAGCAUGGGGAGCGAACAGGAUUAGAUACCCUGGUAGUCCAUGCCGUAAACGUUGGGCACUAGGUGUGGGGGGCAUUCCACGUUCUCCGCGCCGUAGCUAACGCAUUAAGUGCCCCGCCUGGGGAGUACGG